rnacentral:rRNA from 1 species
AUUGAACGCUGGCGGAAUGCUUUACACAUGCAAGUCGAGCGGCAGCGCGGCCUUCGGGCUGGCGGCGAGCGGCGAACGGGUGAGUAAUGCAUCGGAACAUGCCCAGUCGUGGGGGAUAACACUUCGAAAGAAGUGCUAAUACCGCAUACGUCCUGAGGGGGAAAGCGGGGGAUCGCAAGACCUCGCGCGAUUGGAGUGGCCGAUGUCAGAUUAGCUAGUUGGUGGGGUAAAGGCCUAACAAGGCGACGAUCUGUAGCUGGUCUGAGAGGAUGAUCAGCCACACUGGGACUGAGACACGGCCCAGACUCCUACGGGAGGCAGCAGUGGGGAAUUUUGGACAAAGGGGGCAACCCUGAUCCAGCCAUUCCGCGUGAGUGAAGAAGGCCUUCGGGUUGUAAAGCUCUUUCGGCAGGAACGAAACGGUGGGCUCUAACAUAGUCCGCUAAUGACGGUACCUGAAGAAGAAGCACCGGCUAACUACGUG